GGGUUAGUAGGUUGGUCAUGCCUCUGGUAUGUACUGGUCUCACUGAUUCCUCCUUCCUGAUGAACCUUAAUGCCAUUAAUUUGGUGUUUUGGGGAAUUUGGACUGUUACUUUGAAAAAAUUAGAGUGUUUAAAACAGGCAUACGCUUGAAUACAUUGGCAUGGAAUAACGAAAUAGGACGUUCGAUCCUAUUUUGUUGGUUUCUAGGAUUGACGUA
rnacentral:rRNA from 1 species